UCUUCCUCUGCAAGUGCUGGGUCUGACAGCUGCUUUAACAGGGUGUUUGUCACCUGGGGUGAUUGAGUUAAGAAGAAACAAACAAUUGAUCUUGGCUUUCAGUUUUGAUGCUUUGGUCCACGAUUGGCUGGCCCCAUUGCUUUGGAUCUGCUCACUCAUGGCAGAAACGCACAGCUGGGGAAGCUGCUUGUCUCCUGCUAACCAACAAGGACAGAAAGAAGGGGUACCACAGCGAGAGAGAACCUGAAUCAGCCACCGUCAGAGAGGCCGAUUAAGCCAAACUACUGCUGCCUAAGCUGCUUCUUGUUAUUUUUCUCUGGGCCAGGUUAAAAGGCACUUGAGAACAAUGGGCCAUCAGCUCUGCCUCCUGUCUGUCUGGGAAGAUGGCUGCCACGGCCGCCAGUCCCAUUCCAUUUCAGCAAUGAGGUGCCACAAGAGGCUCACACACAUAACCCCCGCAAAGAUGGAAAUGAGUGUAU
rnacentral:lncRNA from 1 species